ensembl:lncRNA
GCCAAACACCAGUGGGCGAGUCAGCGAGUAGGGUUGCCGAAAUGUUUUCUUUACCUUUUUUAUAAUAAAUAUGUCGUCCCUUAUUUAAAAACAGAAUCUAGUGGUUGAGGUUUUAUUUCCUUUUGAGAUGAAUAAAAAAAAUAAAUUACAUUGUUUUUUAACAGAGCCAUUUGUAAUGCAACUACUCAGCACCGCAAUGGAGGCAAUGUGGCAGCUGUGGCGAUGGCGGCAACAAGAGAAGCCGGAUUAACGGGAAUCAUGGCGGAGCAGACCAUAAACCUAGACACCAGCGACGGAGGGCAGCCCUCCGAAGCUCCCAACGAGCUCCAGGUCUACAAAGAGUCACACUUCCUGCUGUGGUUCAGAUGUUCAGCGUGUUGCUUUGUUUCUCACAUGUUGGCUCCACGGUCUCUGCUGCUGUGGGCUGAUGUCAUGAAGCAAUACAGCUGCUCAACAUCUGGCCUUGUUUUGCU